GCGGAAGUGGCGGAAUUGGUAGACGCGCAGGAUUCAGGAUCCUGUGCCCGAGAGGGUGUGGGGGUUCGACUCCCCCCUUCCGCAUCA
rnacentral:tRNA from 1 species